AUGUGCCCACGGUCCCGGUCCCCGCUUCUCAGAGACCACCUCCAGAGCUCCAAACACGCUCAGCUUAUUCAAAAAGGGAUAUGCAGCAGCUGGCUUGGCCCCACACCUCUGCCCGCUUCCUGCAGAACUUUUUUCCCCAAACCACCAGAUCUCAGCUCAGGCUUCGACACGCCCCCUCAAACUUCCACAGCGCUUUAAAACCUGCGGCUUUCCCUGGGUCCCUGCACCCUGCGCGGGCCCUCUCCUCACUAGGAGAGCAGUGAACGACUUUCAGCUUCUGUCUGUAGUGACCCUGGCCUCUCUGCGGAGACGCUCAGGCACCCCUGUCAAUUAAGUCCCAGCCACCGCCUGACCGAAAGCAAGGCGAUAUUCAUUAUGUUUGGCGGAGAGCCAGAACGAUUUCCUUUAUACGAGACCUCCUCCUGCGCUUCCUAAGCCACCUUGUGUGGAUUUAUCUCGAGAGUAAGAUGAUGCUCUUUCUGCCAAAUGAAUCACCCUACCAAGACGUGUUAAAGGAAUUCAUUGACCUGAUUUGUCUGCGGGCGUGAACCUAGUUUGCACUUUUGGACAGGAAAGACUGCUGGUGCUACGAGAAACUGGUUUCUCGUUUCCGUUGCACCCAAGAUGUCGUACUGCUUUAAGAAAGAACGUGAUGAAGCAAUGCGGGCAAAUCCGGUUUAAACGGCAUUUGGCACGACUUGGCAACGAUUUGCUGAAGGAUGCUUGACGUCCUUGUCGCGUCUCAAGGACGACGAUCAGCUGAACUAUGAACGAGAAUGAAAGGAUUUGAAACGGCAUGACUCCUACACCUGUUUUGUUUGUGUGUGUUUCCCCCUAUAACUUUCCAACCCAGUUUAUGUUGACAAAUUUAGUUACAUGUAGGAGGACAGUCCCCCAUACAAAAAUACUCAAUACGAAGUUCAUAUUUUUACCCCAAAUCUUUACCCUUUAAUCUUUUCCAGUAUUUUUUCAGAAAAUACUCCCUUUGUAAAUUCAAAUUUGUCCGUUUUGAGUCUUCUGACUCAGCAUUUGAACACUUCCAUUUCUUGUGUUGGUAGCGCUUUGCAGGUUCUCCUGUCUCUUGUUUUUGCCUCUCAAA
rnacentral:lncRNA from 1 species